rnacentral:ncRNA from 1 species
UGUUAAUAGUGGCCCCAAGGUGCCGCAAGGCUUAAUAGGGAAUCCCGUGAAAAUCGGGGACGGUCCCGCCGCUGUGUUCGGGGACGAAAUUCGCAACUGCCACUGCUUCAUCGCUUGAAACGGGAAGGCGCGGAGAGUAGGACGAUCCGAAAGUCAGAAGACCUGCCUUAAAAAAUCGGCCAUAC